rnacentral:rRNA from 1 species
AUGUAUAGGGAAAACUGGUNAAAAUGUGAUGUACCUAGUAAUAUUAGUGAUUAAUAUAAGAUUAACUAAGUUAAUUAAAAUUCUAGAUAGGUUUUGAUUAUGACAUUAUUUAUCUAUGUCUUGACCAAGUCACGUGCCAGCAGUCGCGGUAAUACGUGGAAGACUAGUGUUAUUCAUCUUUAGCAGGUAUAUAGGGUACCUAGACAGUCAAUCAAGCUUAAUUGUACUAAUUGACUAGGGUUUAAUAGAAAAAGGAUGGAGUACGGUGAGUGUAGAUAUAAAAUUCUGUGAUACCAUCUGGGUACUGGUAAAGGCGAAGGCAACCUUUUAUGUGAAAACUGACGUUGAGGGACGAAGGCUCGUGUGAAAGAAUAGGAUUAGAUACCCUAGUAUUUCGAGCAGAAAAUGAUGAGUGUCAUAUGUAAGAAAGAUCUUGUGUGUUCAAGGUAUAUUUUGUGUAUAAAUGAAAGUGUAAGCAUUCCACCUCAAGAGUAACAUGGCAACAUGCAAACUGAAAUCAUUAGACCGUUUCUGAAACUCGUAGUGAAGUAUGUUGUUUAAUUUGAUAGUCCUCAAAAAACCUUACCACAACUUGCAUAACUAUAAGGAAUAUUAUAGCUACAAGCGUUGCACGGCUGUCUUCAGUUAAUGUUGUGAAACUAUGGUUAGAUCCAUUGAAUUAACGAAAACCCUUACUUUAUUUGUUAUAAAGUAGUUCGCCGCUAUAUUGGUAAUGAUAUAAGGGAUC